UAGCUGCAGUAUUUUGACUGUACAAAGGUAGCAUAAUCAUUAGUCUUUUAAUUGAAGGCUUGUAUGAAUGGUUUGACGGAAAAUAAUCUUUUUUGUUAUUAUAUUUAUUGAAUUUAAUUUUUAAGUUAAAAAGCUUAAUUUUUUAAAAGGGACGAUAAGACCCUGUAGAAUUUAAUAAAAUAUUUGAUUAUACUUAUUUAAUUGGGGUGAUUAAUAAUUAACUUUAUUUAAAAUUUCAUAAAUAUAUGAAUUAUUGAUCCUAAAUUUUAGAUAGAAAGAUAAAAUUACCUUAGGGAUAACAGCAUAAUUUUUUUUAAAAGACCUUAUUAGUAGAAAAGAUUAUGACCUCGAUGUUGAAUUAAGAUAAUAUUUAGGUGUAGAAGUUUAGAUAUUAAGUCUGUUCGACUUUAAUUUUUACAUGAUUUGAGUUCAAACCGGCGUGAGCCAGGUUGGUUUCUAUCUUUUUAUAUUU
rnacentral:rRNA from 1 species